rnacentral:misc_RNA from 1 species
GAUGAAGAACGUAGUGAAAUGCGAUAAGUAAUGUGAAUUGCAGAAUUCAGUGAAUCAUCGAAUCUUUGAACGCACAUUGCGCCCGCCAGUAUUCUGGCGGGCAUGCCUGUCUGAGCGUCAUUUCAACCCUCAGCCCCCGCUCGCGGGGCGCUGGCGUUGGGGAUCGGCCGUCCUCGCGGCGGCCGGCCCCGAAACACAGUGGCGGUCUCUCGCGGACUCCCCUGCGUAGUAGCACUACCUCACAGAAGGGACGAGCGGGCUGACCACGCCGUAAAACCCCCCACUUCUCCAGGUUGACCUCAGAUCAGGUAGGAAUACCCGCUGAACUUAAGCAUAUCAAUAAGCGGAGGA